UCCAGGCCCUACGGGGCGCAGCAGUCGCGAAACCUUUGCAAUACACGAAAGUGUGACAGGGCUAUCCCGAGUGCCAUCUGCUGAGGAAGGCUUUUACCCAGUCUAGAACGCUGGGGGAAUAAGGAGAGGGCAAGUCUGGUGUCAGCCGCCGCGGUAAUACCAGCUCUCCAAGUGGUGUGGAUGUUUAUUGGGCCUAAAGCAUCCGUAGCUGGCUAGGUAAGUCCUUCGUUAAAUCCACCGAAUUAAUCGUUGGAUCGCGGGGGAUACUGCUUGGCUAGGGGACGAGAGAGGCAGACGGUAUUUUCGGGGUAGGGGUGAAAUCCUAUAAUCCCGGGAAGACCACCAGUGGCGAAGGCUGUCUGCUAGAACGCGCCCGACGGUGAGGGAUGAAAGCUGGGGGAGCGAACCGGAUUAGAUACCCGGGUAGUCCCAGCUGUAAACGAUGCAGACUAGGUGUUUGGACGGCCACGUGCCAUUCUAGUGCCGCAGGGAAGCUGUUAAGUCUGCCGCCUGGGGAGUACGAUCGCAAGAUUGAAACUUAAAGGAAUUGGCGGGGGAGCACCACAAGGGGUGAAGCUUGCGGUUUAAUUGGAGUCAACGCCGGG
rnacentral:rRNA from 1 species